rnacentral:rRNA from 1 species
UACGGGGGGGGCAAGCGUUGUUCGGAAUUACUGGGCGUAAAGGGCUCGUAGGCGGCCAACUAAGUCAGACGUGAAAUCCCUCGGCUUAACCGGGGAACUGCAUCUGAUACUGGAUGGCUUGAGUUCGGGAGAGGGAUGCGGAAUUCCAGGUGUAGCGGUGAAAUGCGUAGAUAUCUGGAGGAACACCGGUGGCGAAGGCGGCAUCCUGGACCGACACUGACGCUGAGAAGCGAAAGCGUGGGGAGCGAACAGG